rnacentral:lncRNA from 1 species
AGUAGGGGAAAAUUUUGGUUGCAAAGGGAUCACUAUAUUUGUUCUCACCAUGGAAGUGAAACCAGGACAAGUGGUAAUCCUGUUUUCCUGUUUAUGAAAUAUCUCACUUCCUUAGAUUCUUUUUGAGUUUUAUGGCUAUCUAUAGACGUGGAAAUUGAGCUGAAGCCAAACAGAUCUGGCCUUAUUUCCCAUGGGCCUGUGCACCACCAAUUUGGAUCUGAGAUCAGACAUAACCUUGCCAUAAGCAGCAAAGGGCUUGGUGAACCCUCAAAAAGGCUGUCAAACACCCAGAGGCCUUGGGGAUCAGGAAGGAGCUAUCAUGUGGUCUUUCAUAAAAAACUGGUUCACCCAUACCAAGCCUACACAUUUCAGCCCAUGAGGAUGGAGAAAAAGAAGAAAUUGAUGACAGAUUCUAUCAUCACAAAAGGAUGUGAUUUGGAAGUUGCAUGCAUCCAUUCAGAGCUUCUUGGCCAAAACAGUCAUAUUAACAAAACUAGCUGCCAACAUACUACAAAAUGAGCUAAGAGAGAAUUGUCCUGCCUGAUGGGCUUCAAACCACCAGAACAUCAGUUCUUCCUGGUUCUGCAGUAGUCUCCAACCUUCAGACUCAAACUUCAGCACCUGUUCUUCAGAUUUUGGACUUGCAGCCUCUAUAAUCACAUGAGCCAAUUCCUUAUAUAAAUUUAUUUAUACAUGCUGACAGUUGGUUCUGUUUCUCUGGAUAACCCUGACUGUUAGAGCUGUUACCUCAAAUUUGUUUUCUUAUAUUUGGUGUCUGUUUUGGAGUACUUACAAGUGCUUAAAAUGUUCUUUUUCAAUUAGGUCCUGUAGAACAUAGCUGCGCCUGGAAUUGAAUGAUCGUGUUUUCCGUGCAGAGCUAUCUGCCUUUGGACAGGAGGAGAACUCUCAGCACCAUUCCCUUUCCACGGGAGCUUCUUUUUUCUCAUUCUUUUUCUUGCCUCCCUCAACUCCCAUCCUCUGUUCUGGGAGAAGGUGAAGCUGGCCUGACAGGCCUGAGGGAAGCCGGACGGAGGCACACUUGCCAGCUUUUAGUUGAGGGAGGCACCGCAGCAAGGCUCUCCAGUCCCUCCUUCCCUGGGAGCACCAGCUCUGAUUCUAGUGGGCAGCUGCAGCUAAGACGAAGACAAAUGAAUCCAGAGACUUCUCUCGAGCUAUGAGCCUGAGCCAAAGGCACAGCCCAGCUGUCCAGAGAGCUUUGUGACAGAACAUGGGGGGCCAGCUGACAGGAACCGAGGCACUUUUAAAUUUAGCACUUGUCCUCGCCCUUUCGGUUCACGAUUUCUUGGAAGUUUCAUUUGGAAAAAGAGGUGAGGGACAGAAGUAGAAGUUGGGAAUUCUAGAUCCCUUGAUUCUAGAAUAUUCUAAGAUCUUCCAAACUAACCCUGAUUCCUAAAAACAGAAUAGGACAAUCUUGUUUUCGGUAUUGAGAAUAGCAAAUAUAGAAAUCCCUUAAUUCUUUGACUUAGCUUAGCAGGUGCAAUUAGUUCUAUCCCUAAGCCUUCUUACCAGAAAAUUUUCUAGUGUAAAAUGAUUGGAUGGGAUACCAAUUGGGAUGGGUGUGGUAAUAGUAAAACCAUAUUCUUUAAUAACUUUUUCUUAUUUGUUUUCCUGGAAUUUUGGUUGGCAUUUUUUAAUGAAUUACAUGCUUAUUUUUAAAAAUUAUUAUGAUGGAGAAUUUUUGUUAGGCAGAAUUUCAAAUCUGUCAUCUGCUGUUGACUCUUACUUUCACUACAAAUUUACGAAGGUAGAGAGACCCAGUUCUUACUUAAGUUAUAUCUAACAUAAAAAUACAAUUCUGUCCCAAUCUGUUCAUUUAAAGGGUAAAUUUAUAGCAUCUGUUCAACUUUAUAUGCUAUCUCAAAAUUGUCAACAUUUUAAGCAAGGUGCUACCUAAUUUUAAUGGGUGCACAAGAGGGAAAAGUGGGUCAUUGACUUCAAAGGCGAAACUAUAAGCUAUUAAUGGGCUACGUUGUGCUGAAUUACAAUCUCUUUUCUUGUUUCAAGUUAAAAUUUUUAAGUGGCCACAUGUUUGGCAUUGUAAUUGAUACCACAAUGCUGCUGUUCCUUGACUCAUUCAUUCUCAAAUGUAUAUAUAUAUAUAUUCUUAGUUCACAAAUUUCUAUUUCUUUUACACAAGUUGCUAUUUCUUGUAGUGUUCAUGAACUGGGUAUGCUGUCCUUUGUAAUGAAAGACUACAGACUGCCAUGAAUAGUACCUUGGCUUCUUUUUUUACAGUGUGGAAUGAGAGCAUUUAUUAUUGUUGCAUUAUUGUAUUUUUGAAUAAAAAUCCCUAUUCCCACUGUACCAAA